UCUAACCACACUCUUGCCAAAUCAUCAUAAAUAAAUAUUUUCUUUUUGCCAUAUUAAGCUUUUAUGCCACAUAGGUUGCUUCACAUGGAAUAAUUUUUAAAAAUUUGAGUUUCCCUCUCAUUUUGACUCAAUUGGAUCUUGGAAUAGCAACAAGACAAAAUUAUUGUAAUGGAUCAGGCCCAAUAGGUUUAAGUCCAAAAUUAUAUCAAACAAAAAAAUACUUCCCUCAACAACAAACAGAGUAGUAGCGCUGAAACAUAAUAUAUUUGGCAAAGUGUCACUUUCAUUUUCUCUGUGUUGUGCCCUUCCCAACUUCUAUCUCCGACUUCUUUCUUUCUCCAUCUUCCAUUUUGGUGAAAAACCAAAAGUUGCUACAAGCUUUGACCAAUGCUUUCAAAUUUCAAAAAUCCCUCCAAAAGUUUCAGAAACCAUCCUUAUCUUUAUGACUCCUUCUCUCUUUCUCCUUCUUCUCUCAUAACAACAACAACAACAACAACAGUUACAGACAUCAACAUCAAAUCACCCUCUUCCUCAACAUCUCAUCCUCUAAUUUAAAACCAAAAAUGCUGACAACGAUUGUUUUCUGGUAAAAUUUAUAUUCUGAAACCCUAAAGAAUGAAUCGCGUCAAUCAGUUAGAUACGCGGAGUAACAGCUAUUUUGAAUUAAGAUUAAGAUUUUGGCUGAAAGAUUAAGAUUGGUGAAAGGAUGAAAGCUCUUUAGGAUUUAGUAGUCCCUGGAUGUAAGUUGAAACAAGGUAUGGUUAACUUAAUGUCAAUUUCAGUUUUUUAUAUGCUCUCACCACAUAAUGUAUAACUAAGAAAAAAAUAAGCAUAAGGAAAGAGAAAAAAAAUGUGAUACUUCUCAUAUGAAAAAGAAAAGAACAAAAUUGAGGGGUCAAGUUUAUGAACUUUCAUGGUUUAGUUUGUUAUCACACUAUAUUUAUAUGAAAGAGAUUUGCUUGAGUUAGUGUAUUGAAUAUAAAAAACUAUGUAUUGCAGUGAAUGUGAAAAAGUUUCUUGUAACAUAACAUUUUCUAUUAUGGAAGAAAGUGAUGGAGGAAACUGAUGUUAUUCUCAUUUGGUUUUCAAAAGGAUGAAUAUUUUGUUCCAAUUGAUACUGUCAUUGCCCCACUUGAAGCUGAGAUUAAAAUGUAUAGGAAUGAGAUUACAACACUUCAAGAAGAUAAGAAAGCUUUGGAAAGGAUAAAAAGUCCAAAGAAACUACAUUGAUAGAAAGCAGAGAGGAUUUUGGAAAGUACACUAGAGAAGGCUCUAAUAAUUGAAAAAGUUCAAAAUCAAAAUUUUGACUUAAAGAGACAGAUUGAGAUCUUACAGCUUGCUAACAGAAGACUAGAUCAUGAUACUAUCAAACAAAAAUGACUAUAUGCAAGAUAUAUAGAGUUGGAGCAGCUUGCAUAUUUGUUAUAGAUAGAUUUGUUAUAGAUAGAUGCAUCUUUCAAUAUAAGAGACUUUUCUUGGUUAAUCAAUGUUAGGAACAUAGAAUCUCAAUGCUAGCCAAUGACAAUCUAUCAUAAUCCAUUUUCUUGAUAUUUCUUUGUUAUUCAAGUGCGUUGAAACUUUCUUAGC